rnacentral:rRNA from 1 species
GUAGUCAUAUGCUUGUCUCAAAGAUUAAGCCAUGCAUGUCUAAGUACAUGCCGUAUUAAGGCGAAACCGCGAAUGGCUCAUUAAAUCAGUUAUGGUUCCUUGGAUCGUACCUUACUACUUGGAUAACUGUGGCAAUUCUAGAGCUAAUACAUGCAGCAGAGCUCCGACCUUCGGGAACGAGCGCUUUUAUUAGACCAAAACCAAUCGGGCCUCGUGUCCGUUUCUUGUGGUGACUCUGUAUAACUUUGGGCUGAUCGCACGGGCUCGUCCCGGCGACGUAUCUUUCAAGUGUCUGCCUUAUCAACUGUCGAUGGUAGGUUACGCGCCUACCAUGGUCGUAACGGGUGACGGGGAAUCAGGGUUCGAUUCCGGAGAGGGAGCCUGAGAAACGGCUACCACAUCCAAGGAAGGCAGCAGGCGCGCAAAUUACCCACUCCCAGAACGGGGAGGUAGUGACGAAAAAUAACAAUACGGGACUCUUUUGAGACCCCGUAAUUGGAAUGAGUACACUCUAAAUCCUUUAACGAGGAUCCAUUGGAGAGCAAGUCUAGUGCCAGCAGUCGCGGUAAUUCUAGCUCCAAUAGCGUAUAUUAAAGUUGUUGCGGUUAAAAAGCUCGUAGUUGGAUCUCAGCUCCGGCCGGACGGUCCGCCUAACGGUGGUUACUGUUCGUUGCCGAGCGUUACGAAGACGUCGUCCGAUGAUCUUUACCCGUUGCCGUGCGGUGUCUUCAAGUUUACUUUGAAAAAAUUAGAGUGCNCAACGCCCGCGUGACGCCCGAAUAAUUGUGCAUGGAAUAAUGGAAUCGGACCUCGGGUGUAUUGGGUUGGUUAAUAGGAAUUGACGGAAAGGGCACCACCAGGAAUGGAGCCUGCGGCUUAAUUUGACUCUAUCACGGGAAAACUUACCAGGCCCGGACACAGGAAGGAUUGACAGAUUAAGAGCUCUUUCUUGAUUCUUUUGGUGGUGGUGCAUGGCCGUUCUUAGUUGGUGGGGUGACUUGUCUGGUUUAUUCCGUUAACGAANGAGACUCUAGCCUACUAAAUAGACGUUCCGAUCCUCUUUCGUCGGACGUUCUUCUUAGAGGGACAAGCGGCGUUUAGCCGCACGAGACAGAGCAAUAACAGGUCUGGGAUGCCCUUAGAUGUCCGGGGCCGCACGCGCGCUACAUUGAAGGAAUCAGCGUGUGCUUUCCCUGUCCGAAAGGACUGGGUAACCCGUUGAACCUCCUUCGUGCUGGGGAUUGGCGAAUGUAAUUCACGCCAUGAACGAGGAAUUCCCAGUAAGCACGAGUCAUCAGCUCGUGUUGAUUACGUCCCUGCCCUUUGUCCACACCGCCCGUCGCUACUAUCGAUUGAAUGAUUUAGUGAGGUCUUCGGACUGGCGCUCGGAUUGGCCUUCGCGGUCGAGCCGGUGUGCCGGAAAGAUGACCGAACUUGAUCAUUUAGAGAAAGNNAAAGUCGUAACAAGGUUUUCGUAGGU